CUGGUGGUGGCAUGGUAUGCAACUAUACCCCUGUUGACAUAUAAUUUUGUAAAUCAAUAUUAAAUCAGUAAUAAACUUAAAAAAAAAAGAAAGAAAACACAUCCAUCCACCUGUCCAACUCACUCUAGAAGCCUGAGACUCAUAGCUCAGUCACAGUGGUUUACUUUUGAAAGAGCUUCUUAUGUAUUUAGGAGAGAGAGAGCAACACAGCUGGAGUACAUGAGAUGCCAGGGAUCAGACUCUUGAGGACAUCACGCUUGAGAAAGUCCAGAGUUUCAUCCCCUGCACCACUCCCAGUUAGAGCAGCUGACAGGCUCCUGUCUCUCGCUCAGUCUUGUGACCAGCUUUGGGGAAGAGGACGAUGACCAGCCCCACCUCAUAGACGAGGCCCAGAGAGGACAAGUAACUGGCCUGGGGUCCCACAGCUUGGGGAAUGGCAGAAUUGGGGUCAUCUUCAACCUUCAGGAGCUUGAAGGAAUCCUGUGAAGUAAGAUAAGUCAGAAGGAAAAGGAUGAAUAUGGGAUGAUCUCACUCAGACAGAAGUUGAAAAACAAGAAUAGAAGGGAAAACACUAAGCAGAACUUGGACUGGAGUUGGUGUAUUGCACCAAA